rnacentral:tRNA from 1 species
GCUCCGAUGGUGUAGUCCGGCCAAUCAUAUUACCCUCUCACGGUAAUGACCUGGGUUCAAAUCCCAGUCGGAGCA